GAUGAAGAACGCAGCGAAAUGCGAUAAGUAGUGUGAAUUGCAGAAUUCAGUGAAUCAUCGAAUCUUUGAACGCACAUUGCGCCCUUUGGUAUUCCUUAGGGCAUGCCUGUUCGAGCGUCAUUUAAACCUUCAAGCCCUGCUUGGUGUUGGGUGCCUGUCCCGCCCCCGCGCGUGGACUCACCUCAAAUCCAUUGGCGGCCCCCGCAAGGCCACGAGCGCAGCAGAAACGCAAACUCGUGUGCCCGGCGGGCGGCUCCCAGAAGCUACACCCACCAUUUUGACCUCGGAUCAGGUAGGGAUACCCGCUGAACUUAAGCAUAUCAAUAAGGGAGGA
rnacentral:misc_RNA from 1 species